UUGACAGAAGAUAGAGAGCACAAAUGAUUAAGUGCAUGAAAAUUGUAUGCACCUUACUCCUUUGUGCUCUUUAUUCUUCUGUCACCA
rnacentral:pre_miRNA from 1 species